UUGGAACAUAAUUCAAAGGCUGUUAUGUGGGGGAAUUCUGCUGGGCCAGACAUUUUAGCUCGUAAAAACGCCUCCCAUCCACCCCACCCCCAUCCCAACGCCUGCCUUUCUCUCUCUCUGUCAUUUCAGGCCGAGUCCGUUUUGCACCAGCAGCGCUCGUUUGCCAGGGUUCUUUAUUGAUUUAUUAUGCAAAUGUGUGUGCUGUGCGGUGGUGACCCAUCACAGUACAUUGUGUAAUUGAGUGACGGAGGGAGCGGAACAGCCUUUUGAGGGGCUGUGCUUAAUGGAGUGAGAAUAUGAAGUGGUCGUCGUCCCCCAGCUCCUACAACAGGUUACAUAUUUAUCAGACCAGAACGCUUAUUUCAGUAAACAGCCAAUUCCCCCUUGACCUCAAUCCGCCAGUAACUGCUCUGCACUCUUUAAUGAACUUAUCGCUUGGGUGACUUCUCAGACACGUUGCCACUGCAUGUAAGAACACUUUGAGAAACAUCACACAGACGGAAUCAGUUAGCUGUUAGGUUGAUUGUCCUUACGUGUUGUGUUGCUUUCCACGGGGCUCUUCUUCUAUGUUUUGGAGGUAUAGUUGUGUUGCUUUCCACGGGGCUCUUCUUCUAUGUUUUGGAGGUAUAGUUGUGUUGCUUUCCACGGGUCUCUUCUUCUAUGUUUUGGAGGUAUAGUUGUGUUGCUUUCCACGGGUCUCUUCUUCUAUGUUUUGGAGGUAUAGUUGUGUUGCUUUCCACGGGUCUCUUCUUCUAUGUUUUGGAGGUAUAGUUGUGUUGCUUUCCACGGGUCUCUUCUUCUAUGUUUUGGAGAUAUAGUUGUGUUGCUUUCCACAGGUCUCUUCUAUGUUUUGGAGGUAUAGUUGUGUUGCUUUCCACGGGUCUCUUCUUCUAUGUUUUGGAGGUAUAGUUGUGUUGCUUUCCACGGGUCUCUUCUUCUAUGGUUUGGAGGUAUAGGCCAGGCCUAACCAUGGUAGUACCAACUAGGACAUAUGUAGACUUCAUCACAUGCAUGUCAUCAUUACAUUUAGAGGACCUAAUGUUCUGAAUUAGUGAUUCAAUGAAAUAAGUUCUAGAAUGCGUUAGAAAAGCCUCCCUCCACACAGUUUAACACCAUACAAUGCAGUGUUACAUACCCAGCCAUACAGGAAGGAGAGCCAUUUAGUGUGCAUUACCAGCCAAUCAGGAAGAAGAGCCAUUUAGUGUGCAUUACCAGCCGAUCAGGAAGGAGAGCCAUUUAGUGUGCAUUACCAGCCAAUCAGGAAGGAGAGCCAUUUAGUGUGCAUUACCAGCCAAUCAGGAAGGAGAGCCAUUUAGUGUGCAUUACCAGCCAAUCAGGAAGGAGAGCCAUUUAGUGUGCAUUACCAGCCAAUCAGGAAGGAGAGCCAUUUAAUGUGCAUUACCAGCCAAUCAGGAAGGAGAGCCAUUUAGUGUGCAUUACCAGCCAAUCAGGAAGGAGAGCCAUUUAGUGUGCAUAACCAGCCAAUCAGGAAGGAGAGCCAUUUAGUGUGCAUUACCAGCCAA